UCAAGUCAGUUCUCUUUUAUAAUUUGACAAUUUCCAAAAUUCGCCAAUUUUUGUGAAAAGAUAAAUUUUAUCUACACACUACGAAAAGCGUAGCAGUUUCAGCUUCUGAAGUUGUAGAAAGUCUAGCAAAAAACUAUUGGAUUCACGCCAACACACAUAUGGUGUUCCGGUCAAAAGUUCAACUAUAACUUGGCAAGCAGAUGGAGCUUAUGCCGGAAUCAUUGGUCCAAGGGAAAUGUAGUUUCCAACAAUUGGCAAGCAGACUAGUAUGAUCUAGGCGGAGAUAUACGUCACAGAUAAAAUGCCUUCUUCAACCAUGAAAAGAAAUAUAGAGGGUCAAACAUUACUAUUCCAACCGACAGCCAAGCAGCAAUUAGGGCACUUAGGUCCGACCAGAAGAACGCUAAACUAGAAUGGCUAGCUAGGAAAAGAGCAUGGUUAUGAAACUGAAAAACGAAGAGAAAUGGCUGAAGGAACUAUACUGGGCCAACCUACUAGGAAUCGAACAGGCCAGGGUGCUCAUGCGGGGAUUCGAACCCAAGUACUCGAAAGAUUAUUUAAAUAUCGCUCAAAACAGCCUCCAAAUUAUAGUUGGAAUACUACAUUAUCACCCGGAAGCGAUAGAGAUAUCUACGGCCACUGUCUGCAGAUUCUGUGGGAACAGUGAUGAAACCUGCACACAUAUUCUGGGACAGUGUCCGACACUUGUGAAAAGUAGGUUAAGGCACUUGGGAGACCAGGGAGAAUACCAGAUGCCAGGUUACUUGGAAAUAAGAAGCAUAAUAAAGUCCUCGGCGGUUAUAACCAUUUUCCUUCUCUCAGAAUGAAGUUCAAAAAUCGAAAUGUACCUACAGGGGAGAUAGCUUGGCUUGUGCCAGAGACAAUUUAUAAAAUUGUA